GUCAGUACUUUAAAUACUGUUCCCUUCUGGCUUACAAAUUUUCUGCUGAAAGACAUCUGAUAGCCAUGAGAUUAGGUAAAAAUGUUUGCCAGACUGGUCUUGAAGGCAUGUCCUUGUGUGUGGUGUGCUUAUGCAGCCUGUGUGUACUCAGCAGCUUUGGUGGGAGAGCUGGAUCUGAAGUGAGCAUGGGUUGUGUCUUCUCCUGGGGUGUAGUUGUGACUGUUUCCUUGAAGGGGUAGAGCUAGAGCUGGAGGAGCUACAGCCAAAGCCUGGUGUGAGCUGUGGCUUCUCCAUCAGUGCAGUGGAGCUUGCCGCCUUAACAGGGGUGGAGCUGAAGCUGGAGAUGGUGAAGCCAAAGCCUGGUACCAGCCUUAGCUUUACUCCCUGUGAUGCAGGGAGCAAAGGCUGGAGCAAGAGGGCUGGAGCUGAAAACUGGGCUGGGGUCAUGCUGGGGUCAGCCAGAGAGUUAGGCUGUUUUCAGUCUGCUCCCUGUGUUCUGAGACUGGGAGCAAGCAAGUCUUGCUCACGCUCUUCAAGAGUGGAAUCUCAGGGAGUUUGAGCCGUGGCUCAGCAGAAAUGAAUCAGACUAGCAUCCAUAAGGACACAGGUUCAAUCCCUGGCCUCACUCACUGCGUUAAGGAUCUGGUGUUGCCAUGAGCUGUGGUGUAGGUUGCAGACAUGGCUCAUAUUUGGUGUUGCUGUGGCUGUGGUGUAGACCAGCGGCUACAGCUUUGCUUCGACCCCUAGUCUGGAACCUGCAUAUGCUUUGGGUACAGGCCUAAAAAGACAAAAAAAUAAUAAAUACUGAGGGAAGUGAAUUAUCAUCUGGGGUGAGAGAAAGGUAAGGGCAGAGAAGAUGUGGAGAAGGAUGUUAACAAAUGUCCUUUUUUUUUUUGCUUUUUAGGGCCACACCUGCAGCAUAUGGAGUUCCCAGGCUAGGGGUCAAAUCAGAGCUACAGCCGUUGGCAACACACAGCCACACCACAGGCAGAGCAACUUGGGAUCUAAGCCGAGUCUGUGACCUACACCACAGCUCAUGGCAACACCGAAUCCUUAACCCACUGAGCAAGGCCAGGGAUCGGACCUUCAUCCUCAUGGAUACUAGUUGGGUUCAUUUCCACUGAGCCACAAUGGGAGCUCCCCCACCUGAUGUCUUGUAUGCUGUGUGAGAAGUAGAAUAACCACCAUGGAAAGACAAGAAUAGGUGAAUGUAUAAAGAUUGUCAGCUAUGGCUGUCUUAGAGCUCUGCCUUCAAUAAUCAGGGGGUGAUCUAGGACUGAAAGCUUCCUUCAGGCCCUCAAGUUUAAGAAGAUGGGAGGGGAGUGCAGAUAAAAUUCAUAGGCUAGGGGUUGAAUUGGAGCUGCAGCUGCUGGCCUACACCACAGCCACAGCAACCUGGGAUCUGAGCUGUGUCUGCCACCUACACCACAGCUUAUGGCAAUGCUGGAUCCUUAACCCACUGAGCAAGGCCAGCAAACCAGCAUUCGCAUGGAUACUAGUCAGGCUUGUUUCCACUAAACCACAAUUGGAACUCCCAUACUCUCACCACAUUUAUUCAACAAAGUAUUGGAAGUCCUAACCACAGCAAUCUGACAAAAGAAAUAAAAUGUACCCAAAUUGGAAAAGAGCUAAAAUUGUCACCCUAUGCAGAUGACAUGAUACUAUAUAUAGAAAACCCCCAGGACUUCACAUAAAAAUACUAGAGCUGAUCAAUGAAUUCAUCAAAGUAGCAGGAUGCAAGAUUAACAUUCAGAAAUCAGUUGCAUUUCUGUAUAUUAACAAUGAAAUAUUAGAAAAGAAAUAUAAAAAUACAAAACCUUUUAAAAUUGCAUUCCAAAAAAUUAAAUAGCUAGGAAUCAACCUGACUAAGGAGGUGAAAGACUUAUAUGUGGAGAACUAUAAAACAUUGAUCAAGGAAAUUAAAAAGGACUCAAAGAAAUGGAAAGAUAUUUCAUGCUCUGGGAUUGGAAGAAUUAAUAUUGUUAAAAUGGCCAUACUACCCAAAGCAAUGUACAGAUUCAACGCAAUCCCUACCAAGUUACCCAUGACAUUUUUUUUUUCACAGAAUUGGAACAAUCAAUCCAAAAAUUUAUAUGGAAACUUAAAAGACCCAGAAUCACCAAAGCAAUCCUGAGGGACAAAAACCAAACAGGAGACAUAACUCUUCCAGACUUCAGACAAUAUUACAAAGCCACAGUCAUCAAAACAGUGUGGUGCUGGUACCAAAACAGACAUACAGACCAACGGAACAGAAUAGAGAACCCAGAAAUAAACCUGUACACUUUGGUCAAUUAAUCUUUGACAAAUGAGGCAAGAAUAUAAAACGGGAAAAAGAUAGUCUCUUCAGUGAGUCGUGCUGGGAAAACUGGACAGCUGCAUGUAAAUCAAUGAAACUAGAACACACCCUCACACCAUGCACAAAAAUAAAAUCAAAAUGGCUUGAAGACUUAUAACAUAAGACAAGACACCAUAAAACUCCUAGAAGAGAGACAAAACAUUCUCUGACAUCAACUGUACAAAUAUUUUCUUAGGUCUCCAAAGGCAACAGAAAUAAAAACAAAUAUAAACCAAUGGGAUCUAAUCGAACUUAGAAGCUUUUGCACAGCAAAGAAAAUCAUAAAAUGAAAAUACAAUCUACAAAAUGGGAGAAUAUAUUUGCAAAUCAUGCAACUGACAAGGGCUUAAUCUCCAAAAUAUAUAAACAACUCAUAGGACUCAACAACAAAAAAACAAUCCAAUUGAAAAAUGGGCAGAAAACCUAAACAGAUAUUUUCCCAAAGAAAACAUACAGAUGGGGCAAUAGGCACAUGAAAAGACGUUCAACAUUGCCACUAGGUGGCAGUGCUGUAUAGUGAGAAAAAGAAAAACCACAUUCAUUCUUUAUCAGAAUUAAAUAUUUCUGUAUACCUAAAUUUAAAAUAUCAGGCUCCCACCUGUGAGAAGUCAUUUUCUCUGUACUUCAACGGUACUGCGUACUGUAACAGCAAGCUUCUCCAUUCAAUUCAAAGUCCCUUAAAGAUGACUGUUUUAUGCUUCUUUAAUCUAUUACAUAAUACCUGCUAAAUAAAUGGGUAUUUUAUGAGUACCCCCGAAUAUAUCUUAAUUUUUUAAUGAUUGUGAAAAAAAUUUAAACAUACAGUUUUUAAGUUUAAUGUAGAGUAGAAAGUAUGAAAGAAGGAAAACAGGAGUUCCCUGUUAGCUCAGUGAGUUGAGGAUUAGGGUGUUGUGCCAGGAGUCACUGCUCAGACACAUGUUCAAGCCCUAGCUGGUGGAUUUCUGCAUGCUGUGAUCACAGCCAAAAAAAAAAAAAAAAAGAAAAAAAA
rnacentral:lncRNA from 1 species